rnacentral:tRNA from 1 species
UCCCUGAUAGCUCAGUUGGUAAAGAAUCUGCCUGCAAUGCAGGAGACCCUGGUUCAAUUCCUGGAUUGGGAA